GAUGAACGCUGGCGGCGUGCCUAAUACAUGCAAGUCGAGCGAACAGACGAGGAGCUUGCUCCUCUGACGUUAGCGGCGGACGGGUGAGUAACACGUGGAUAACCUACCUAUAAGACUGGGAUAGCUUCGGGAAACCGGCGCUUAUACCGGAUAAUAUAUUGAACCGUAUGGUUCAAUAGUGAAAGACGGCUUUGCUGUCACUUCUAGCUGGAUCCGCGCUGCAUUAGCUAGUUGGUAGGGUAAAGGCUUACCAAGGCGACGAUGCGUAGCCGACCUGAGAGGGUGGUCGGCCACAUGGGAACUUGAACACGGUCCAUACUCCUGCGGGACGCAGCAGUAUGGAACCUGCCGCAAUGGGCGAGAGCCUUGCGGAGCGACGCCGCGUGAGUUAUGGAGAUCCUCGGAUCGUAAAACUCUGUUAUUAGUGAAAAACAAAUUUGUAAGUAACUAUGCACGUCUUGACGGUACCUAGUCAGAAAGCCACGGCUAACUACGUG
rnacentral:rRNA from 1 species